rnacentral:rRNA from 1 species
CGAACGCUGGCGGCGUGCUUAACACAUGCAAGUCGAACGCGAACGUUUUCUUCGGAAAACUAGUAGAGUGGCGCACGGGUGAGUAACGCGUAGAUAACCUACCCUUAUGUCUGGGAUAACCCACCGAAAGGUGGACUAAUACCGGAUAUGCUUAUUUUUCAUAAGUUAUAUAAGUAAAGGUGGCCUCUGAUUUAAGCUACUGCAUGAGGAGGGGUCUGCGUACCAUUAGCUUGUUGGUGGGGUAAUGGCCUACCAAGGCAUCGAUGGUUAGCGGGUCUGAGAGGAUGAUCCGUCACACUGGCACUGAAACACGGGCCAGACUCCUACGGGAGGCAGCAGUGAGGAAUAUUGCGCAAUGGGGGAAACCCUGACGCAGCGACGCCGCGUGAGUGAGGAAGGCCUUCGGGUCGUAAAGCUCUGUCAAGAGGGAAGAAAUGCGUAUUGGUUAAUAUCCAAUAUGUUUGACGGUACCUCUAAAGGAAGCACCGGCUAACUCC